AUGUCAAACAGACACCUGAUACUGAAACCAGUUGUCAUGUCUUUAAAGACUAUCCAGUGCAGUUAUUUAAACUGGGAUGUGCAGUGUGGAGUUUUGACCACUGAUCUUCUUCUCUCACCUUCUUUUCCACGUACAGAGGACUUUGCUGGUGAGUUCAGACAGCGAGGUGUUUUUUCAGAAAGCACAUGAGGAGGAGAGAGCAGCACUUCACUGAACGAGCUGUACAGCCCUUGGUGCUGCAGCUCAGACCUGGAGAAGCCUUUACAGGUGGGUGGGCGGCUCCCAGGGCUGUCCCCUGCAGAACUGCUGGAUGCACCGAUGAGUACAUUCAAAUUUUAAAGGUGUCAAGGGGAG
rnacentral:lncRNA from 1 species